GCCUGGCUGGCUCAGUCGGUAAAGCAUGAGACUCUGGAUCUCAGGGUUAUAAAUUCAAGCCCCAUGUUGGGUG
rfam:Mustela putorius furo unplaced genomic scaffold scaffold00050, whole genome shotgun sequence.